rnacentral:rRNA from 1 species
UAGGGAAUCUUCGGCAAUGGACGAAAGUCUGACCGAGCAACGCCGCGUGAGUGACGAAGGUUUUCGGAUCGUAAAACUCUGUUGUUAGAGAAGAACAAGGACGUUAGUAACUGAACGUCCCCUGACGGUAUCUAACCAGGAAGCCACGGCUAACUACGUGCCAGCAGCUGCGGUAAUACGUAGGUGGCAAGCGUUGUCCGGAUUUAUUGGGCGUAAAGCGUGCGCAGGAGGUUUCUUAAGUCUGUUGUGAAAGCCCCCGGCUCAACCGGGGAGGGUCAUUGGAAACUGGGAGACUUGAGUGCAGAAGAGGAGAGUGGAAUUCCAUGUGUAGCGGUGAAAUGCGUAGAUAUAUGGAGGAACACCAGUGGCGAAGGCGGCUCUCUGGUCUGUAACUGACGCUGAGGCGCGAAAGCGUGGGGAGCAAACAGG